rnacentral:rRNA from 1 species
AUGGAGAAUGAGGCGCGCGAAUCCCAUGGGACCGCACGGAACCGGGCACGGAGCGGCGACGGCGGCGAGGAUUUCAUCACCAGGCUCCCCGACGACGUCCUCGGCACCAUCAUCUCCCUCCUCCCCACCCAGGACGGCGGCCGCACGCCGGUUCUCUCCCGUCAAUGGCGCCACCUCUGGCGCUCCGCACCUCUCAACCUCGAGAUCGGCACCCGACCCCCCGACGCCGACGCCGACGGCCCCGUCCCCACCGUCCCACCCUCCGCUGUCUCCCAGAUAAUCUCCCAGCACCAUGGCCCCGCACGCCGAUUCUCCUUCCACUGCCGCGGCCACGACGACCUCUGCGCCCAGGCGGAGAGCUGGCUUCACUCCCGAGCCCUCGCCAACCUCGAGGAGCUCGACAUCGCCUACGCCUGCCCGCGGCUGCUGGCAUCAGUGCUCCGCUCCGCAUCCACCACCAUCCUGGUUGCCAAGAUCAACGAGUGUAAUUUCCCUGGCGAGAUCGUGCCGGCCAUGAGUUUCCCCAAUCUCAAGAAGCUUACCCUGUUUGACACUUCCAUCUCAGAGGACGUCUUCCACGCACUGCUCUCCGGCUGCCAUACCUUGGAGAGCUUAUACAUGGCCGAAGUUUCUGGUGCUGGUCGCCUCCGUGUUAGCUCGCCAACUCUCAAGACCAUUAUCUUCAGUCAUAGCUCCAGUGAAAUGGCAGAACUGGUGAUCUUGGAUGCUCCUCGCCUUGUAAGGCUACUAUUGCCUCGUUAUUACGAAAGUGACCGUGUGAUUAUCAGGGUAACUAGGGCGCCUAUGCUGGAGAUAUUGGGCCCUUUCAUAGCCGCCGUCUCCAAGAUCCUACUCUUUCAGGGAAUAAGCCCGGUCAGCUUGGCAAACUCGAUGCGCACCGUCAAGGUUUUGGCUCUCAGAUCUUCUGCAGAUAAGUUGCAUGCAGUUCUUAACAUCCUCAGGUGGUUCCCCUGUUUGGAGAGGCUCCAUGUCACUUUUCGUAAACACCAUGAUAGGGAUCAGAAAAAUGAGCCUCAGCAUGAACCACCGCAUCCAAUCGAAUGCCUUGAGACCCAUCUAAAAAAAGUGGUAUUUAAGCCAUUCGAGGGCUAUGGGAAACAGGUUGACUUUGCCAGGUUCUUUGUGUUGAGUGCAAAGGUGUUAGACAAAAUUGAAUUUGAAACACAUAAUCACUACGGCACUGAAAUGGUGGGUUAUGAACACAAGCUGCUACAAGUGGAAAACAGAGCCUCUCGACACGCUCGGUUUGUAUUCAAGACUUCAUACUGA